rnacentral:rRNA from 1 species
GAGGAGCUCGGCGGACGACGUGGACAUCGAGCUGGUCAAGGCGGUGGCGCAGGCGUGGUACGCGCACGCGGGCAACCCGCGGCCGUCCCGCGCGCCGGCGGACGACGACGGUGCCGCCGGUCUGGGCGCGCGCCGCGCGGGCGCCCCGCGCUACAGGCCGUCGCGGUUCAAGCUGUAGGCCGCGGCGGCGGCGGCCAAGCCGCCAAACAGCAGGCCGUGGGACUUCACGCAGUCGCUGUGGGACACCUACGAGCUGGUCACCGUGGCGCAGAAGAUCGAGUCCAGCCUCGCCAUCGUGGACGAGGCCACGGCCAGGCCAGCAAGGCGUGCCUUCACCGACAAAGACACCACGCGCGCCGGAGGAGGGAAGCGGGCGAGGGAGAGCAGGCGUAG